CGGGGGGGCAAGCGUUGUUCGGAAUUACUGGGCGUAAAGGGCUCGUAGGCGGCCAACUAAGUCAGACGUGAAAUCCCCAGGCUCAACCUGGGAACUGCGUCUGAUACUGGUUGGCUUGAAUUCGGGAGAGGGAUGCAGAAUUCCAGGUGUAGCGGUGAAAUGCGUAGAUAUCUGGAGGAAUGCCGGUGGCGAAGGCGGCAUCCUGGACCGACAUUGACGCUGAGGAGCGAAAGCUAGGGGAGCAAACGGGAUUAGAUACCCCGGUAGUCCUAGCCCUAAACGAUGAAUGCUUGGUGUGACGGGUAUCGAUCCCUGUCGUGCCGAAGCUAACGCAUUAAGCAUUCCGCCUGGGGAGUACGGUCGCAAGGCUG
rnacentral:rRNA from 1 species